AGUGUGUAUUACCACAGGUCUUGCAGUGGAAGGCUUUGUGUGGCCACAGCAUUUGGGGGUGGUCAUUGGGGAGCUGCUGGCCGGCACCCCCCCAGCCCUGGCACCAUCAAGUCAGGGCACAGAGUUGCAAAGGACAGUUGUGCUGGGUGUUCCUGGUUACGCUGUAGCCAGGCUGUAGGCUGCUGGCACACCCAGGAAGCAGGGCACCUCGACCCUGCCCCAACUUCCAUGAGGCCUCAGACAAGUCCCCUCCCUUUGCCAGGCUGGAAAGGUGACCAGCGUUCCAAGUCCUACAGUGCCCACAGCAGUGGGAGCAGGACAAAGACCAGCCACCGAGGGCCCUCCGGCAAACCCAGACCUCAGCCUGCUUGGAUCCUCAACUCCAGGGGCCGCUGUACCAGCUGCACCACAGGGAGAGCCCCCACACACGUGUGACUCAGAACAGGAAAGGAACUCACACCAGCAAUUAGGCCCCCACAGCUUCCCCGGGACCCACGGAGCACAGGCCAGGCCAGGACCCAGCCUCCUCUAGGAACCCCGUCUCCGGCUGACGCCCCAUCCUCUCCCCUCACCACCUGACAGGAGGUGGGAGACCAGACAUUUCCUUGGCCAUGGGCCCACAGGGACUCAGGCAGGUCCCAGGACCCAGAACCCAGAAGAGCCCCCGCCUGGGCAGAGGGGUCGGGCGGUCAGCGCACCAGAAUGAAGC
rnacentral:lncRNA from 1 species